AGGAGGCAAACGUUGUUCGGAUUUACUGGGCGUAAAGGGUGAGUAGGCGGACUUAUAAGUCUAAGGUGAAAGACCGAAGCUCAACUUCGGGAACGCCUCGGAUACUGUAAGUCUUGGAUAUUGUAGGGGAUGAUGGAAUUCUCGGUGUAGCGGUGGAAUGCGCAGAUAUCGAGAGGAACACCUAUAGCGAAGGCAGUCAUCUGGGCAUUUAUCGACGCUGAAUCACGAAAGCUAGGGGAGCA
rnacentral:rRNA from 1 species